rnacentral:rRNA from 1 species
CAGUCGCCGCGGGAAUACGGAGGGGGCUAGCGUUGUUCGGAAUUACUGGGCGUAAAGCGCACGUAGGCGGACCGGAAAGUCAGAGGUGAAAUCCCAGGGCUCAACCUUGGAACUGCCUUUGAAACUCCUGGUCUUGAGGUCGAGAGAGGUGAGUGGAAUUCCGAGUGUAGAGGUGAAAUUCGUAGAUAUUCGGAGGAACACCAGUGGCGAAGGCGGCUCACUGGCUCGAUACUGACGCUGAGGUGCGAAAGCGUGGGGAGCAAACAGGAUUAGAUACCCGUGUAGUCCCUGUCUCUUAUAC